rnacentral:rRNA from 1 species
CUUUAGGAGGGGGACAACAACUGGAAACGGUUGCUAAUACCCCAUAUGCUUUCGAGUGAAAUGGUUUUUCCGCCUAAAGAGAAGCUUGCGGCUGAUUAGCUUGUUGGUAAGGUAACGGCUUACCAAGGCGACGAUCAGUAUCUGGUUUGAGAGGACGAUCAGACACACUGGAACUGAGACACGGUCCAGACUCCUACGGGAGGCAGCAGUGGGGAAUUUUCCGCAAUGGGCGAAAGUGACGGAGCAAUACCGCGUGAGGGAUGACGGCCUAUGGGUUGUAAACCUCUUUUUUCAGGGAGGAAUCAAUGACGUGUACCUGAAGAAUAAGCAUCGGCUAACUCCGUGCCAGCAGCCGCGGUAAGACGGAGGAUGCAAGUGUUAUCCGGAAUCACUGGGCGUAAAGCGUCUGUAGGUGGCUCAACAAGUCAACUGUUAAAUCUUGAGGCUCAACCUCAAAAUCGCAGUCGAAACUAUUAGGCUAGAGUAUAGUAGGGGUAAAGGGAAUUUCCAGUGGAGCGGUGAAAUGCGUAGAGAUUGGAAAGAACACCGAUGGCGAAGCACUUUACUGGGCUAUUACUAACACUCAGAGACGAAAGCUAGGGUAGCAAAUGGGAUUAGAUACCCCAGUAGUCCUAGCUGUAAACAAUGGAUACUAGAUGUUGAACAGAUCGACCUGUGCAGUAUCAAAGCUAACGCGUUAAGUAUCCCGCCUGGGAAGUAUGCGCGCAAGUGAAACUCAAAGGAAUUGACGGGGGCCCGCACAAGCGUGGAGCAUGUGGUUUAAUUCGAUGCAACGCGAAGAACCUUACCAGGGUUUGACAUGAUACGAAUUUCUUUGAAAGAAGAAAGUGCCGUUUGGAA